GACGAACGCUGGCGGCGCGCUUAACACAUGCAAGUCGAGCGAGAACCAGGGCUUCGGCCCUGGGGACAGCGGCGAACGGGUGAGUAACACGUGGAUAACCUGCCCUCGGCACCGGGAUAGCCCGGGGAAACUCGGAUUAAUACCGGAUAGCCCUUCCGACUCUCGAGUCGGUCCGAAAAGGUAGCUUCGGCCUCUGGCCGAGGAUGGGUCCGCGGCGGAUUAGCUUGUUGGUGGGGUAACGCCUACCAAGGCNCCGAUCCGUAGCUGGUCUGAGAGGACGAUCAGCCACACUGGGACUGAGACACGGCCCAGACUCCUACGGGAGGCAGCAGUGGGGAAUCUUGCGCAAUGGGCGAAAGCCUGACGCAGCGACGCCGCGUGAGGGAAGAAGGCC
rnacentral:rRNA from 1 species